rnacentral:misc_RNA from 1 species
GCAGAGUCAGCCAGACGUCUGUUGGUGCGGGAGGGUAGCGCUCGUCGUGCCCUCGUCCUCUCUGCGUUGCGAACACGCUGGCAGCAGUUGAGGCGCUUAAUAAAGUCCUUGCUACCCAGUGUGCCUGACGUGCUUGGCGGCAGAGAGCGCGGCGUAGUCACAAGAAAGUCAGUCCACCAUCAGAUUCUAAAGGUGUCGUUGUGUGCGAGUACUUAUUACAGUACAGUGUUAUAACCGCCCACAGGUGUGAUAGAGGUCAUCCUGAAAACCAUUUCUCCUGUUGAAACCAACCAGUCAUGUGAGAGUCUCGCGUACUCGCCGUGUAGCUCAGGUGGGCCGGGUCUCCUCUACUCGCGGUGGACGAAGCCUCGACACACGGUACAGGUCAGGAGUGGGAGCGCCACCGCGGUACCUGAGUCCACAACAGGCGCUGACGUGAUGAGGACGACCACCAGCACCACCAGCACCGCCACCACCACCAGCACCGCCUCCUCACUCAAGGCCACGACCAGCACGACCCGGCCAGUCUCUCGCCACGCCACCUCAGCCAGGAGACACACCGCCUCUCACCUGCGGAUACAGAAGACGUCAAGAUUAUCAGAAAAUAUCCAAGACAAUCACACGUUUAAAUCCUGCACCCCGCAUCCUUCCCCUUCCCCUCCUGGAUCCUCUCGGCCUGCCUGGAAGUCCUUCCUCAGGGUUCUCAGCCAACAUUCAAGUUCUCUCUAUUGGUGCAAAACUUCAUAUAUAUAUAUCUUACUUUUCAUAUUCAGAAACCUUCAUGUAAAUUUCACCACUAGUGCGUAAAAUUAAUUUCCUUCACCUUUCCACACAAGUGUAAUAUUACCUCAAUAUUUUCUCACGAGUUGUUGCAAAUAUUGAUUAAUAUGAAAUCUGGUGGAGCUUAAGUGAUAAUCAAACAACUUUUUCAAAAUAUAUAUCGUUUUAGUAAUAUAUUUUCCACAUAUUCAAAAUAUGGCAUAUGUUUCUCGCCCUUAAUCACUUUCACGAGCAUCCAAAAAGAGAUCCUAUGAGUGUCGGUUUAGGAGGAGAGACCCUUCCCUCGCCUGGCCUAACACACCCCCUAACACCCUACUAACACCAAAGUUAAUGCUCUACAUCUACCCUGUAGAUCCGAAUUUGUGAGAUAAUUGUUAACAAAUUCGGUUCUAGAGAGGUUUGUGUGGGGCAUACAUGGCAACUGUCUAACACACAUUAGUCUAAGUCUCCCGUGUGGCGUGAACCUGAAGUGCUUCUAUCUCAGUCAAGUUGUGUGUGUGUGUGUGUGUGUGUGUGUGUGUGUGUGUGUGUGUGUGUGUGUGUGUGUGUGUGUGUGUGUGUGUGUGUGUGUGUGUGUGUGUGUGCGCGCAACAAUCAGGAUGUACAGCCUCCCAUAAACAGCAAAAAAUCAGACAAAAAAAAAUAUUUAAGGUCAGUCAGGUCGGCAGCGGCCUUGUGCACCGCCAGUUGAGCCCCUCAGGCCGCCCCACGUGUGCACCUUCACAUGAGAUUUAUAAUUUGAACUUGUAAUUCACCUCACAAAAAUCAUGUUGUCAGUAAAUGUUAUAAAUAUAUACCUCAUUUUUUUCUAUUACAUAAAUAAAAAAUUUAUUAACAUCCUCUCUCUCUCUCUCUCUCUCUCUCUCUCUCUCUCUCUCUCUCUCUCUCUCUCUCUCUCUCUCU